UCCUACGGGGCGCAGCAGUGGGGGAUAUUGCCCAAUGGGGGGAACCCUGAUGCAGCGACGCCGCGUGGGCGAUGGAGUGCUUCGGCAUGUAAAGCCCUAUCAGCAGGGAAGAAAAUGACGGUACCUGACUAAGAAGCCCCGGCUAAAUACGUGCCAGCAGCCGCGGUAAUACGUAUGGGGCAAGCGUUGUCCGGAUUUAUUGGGCGUAAAGCGAGUGCAGGCGGGUCAAUAAGUCUUAUGUGAAAGCCUU
rnacentral:rRNA from 1 species